GUGCUCACUUCGGCAGCACAUAUACUAAAAAUUGGAACCAUCAGAGAAGAUUAGCAUGGCCCCUGCACAAGUAUGACACACAAAUUUGUGAAGUGUUCCAUAUUUUU
rnacentral:snRNA from 1 species